UACGGAGGGGGCAAGCGUUGUCCGGAAUCAUUGGGCGUAAAGAGCGUGUAGGCGGCCCGGUAAGUCCGCUGUGAAAGUCCAGGGCUCAACCCUGGAAUGCCGGUGGAAACUGUCGGGCUAGAGUCCGGAAGAGGCGAGUGGAAUUCCUGGUGUAGCGGUGAAAUGCGCAGAUAUCAGGAGGAACACCAAUGGCGAAGGCGAGUCCCUGGACAACUUCUGACGCUGAGGCACGAAAGCUAGGGGAGCAAACAGG
rnacentral:rRNA from 1 species